UAAUUGAAGAGUUUGAUCAUGGCUCAGAUUGAACGCUGGCGGCAGGCCUAACACAUGCAAGUCGAGCGGUAACAGGGGAAGCUUGCUUCUCGCUGACGAGCGGCGGA
rnacentral:rRNA from 1 species